rnacentral:rRNA from 1 species
GACGAACGCUGGCGGCGUGCCUAAUACAUGCAAGUAGAACGCUGAAGGAGGAGCUUGCUUCUCUGGAUGAGUUGCGAACGGGUGAGUAACGCGUAGGUAACCUGCCUGGUAGCGGGGGAUAACUAUUGGAAACGAUAGCUAAUACCGCAUAAUAGUAGAUGUUGCAUGACAUUUGCUUAAAAGGUGCAAUUGCAUCACUACCAGAUGGACCUGCGUUGUAUUAGCUAGUUGGUGGGGUAACGGCUCACCAAGGCGACGAUACAUAGCCGACCUGAGAGGGGGGUCGGCCACACUGGGACUGAGACACGGCCCAGACUCCUACGGGAGGCAGCAGUAGGGAAUCUUCGGCAAUAGACGGAAGUCUGACCGAGCAACGCCGCGUGAGUGAAGAAGGUUUUCGGAUCGUAAAGCUCUGUUGUAAGAGAAGAACGAGUGUGAGAGUGGAAAGUUCACACUGUGACGGUAUCUUACCAGAAAGGGACGGCUAACUACGUG